GGCAACUAUCUUCACUGCCAGUCUGCCACCAAGCUUCUUGUCAUAACCUAGUAUCAGGGUGUGAGUGAGAGAACCAUUUUUAUUUAUUUAUUGAAUCAUCAUUAAGCACACCUCAUUAUCAUGCUAAUCAGUUGGUGACCUGUGUGAGGAGGGUUUCCCACAUAAAAGGAUAGUUCAAACUUCCAACUAACAUUUGACUCUCUGUAUCUCAGGAAAUAAGGUUAUCUUGUCCGAUCCCAGUCCGUCUUGCAACUCAAACCACAUUCAGGGCCCCUUUCGCCACCAGUGACAACAUGGCAAUGCCAAUGGAACUUGAGCUGAAGCAUGUGGAGCUGAGAGCUGGAGACCAGUUCAAAGUACAGGGGAGGAUUAUGGAUUAGAAUGAGGUUCCAGAUCGACCUGGGCUGUGAUGAAGAUGACCUGGCACUGCACUUUAACCCACGUUUCAAUGAUGGCACUGUGCUCGUGUGCAACUCAAAGAUUGCCGGCUGCUGGGGGGAUGAGAAGAGAGAGAUCCACAAUCCACUCCAACGGGGUUCUAUAUUCAAGCCAUUAAAUUCAUUGGCCUCAUGGUGAAAUCCCUGAGUGAUUUCCUUCCUCUCCGACAACUGGGUGUGUUGAUACACCAUCCAAAGUGUAAUUACUAACUUCACCAUGCUCAAAGGGAUAUUCAAUGUCUGCUUUGCGAGGCAUUGUAAAAUCUCCCUGGUCUUUGUGGUUGAAUCUGUGCUUGAAAUUCAUUGCUCGACUGAGGGACCGUACAAUUAUCUGUAUGUGUGCAGUAUAGAGAUGGGGUGGUCAUUAAAACAACAUGUUAAACACUAUUAUUGCACACAGAGUGAGUCCAUGCAAAUGAUUAUGUAACUUGAUAAGCACAUUUUUACUCCUGAAUUGAUUUAGGCUUAACAUAACAAAGGGGUUGAAUACUUAGUGACUGAACAUUUCCAAAAACAUAAUUCCACUUUGACAUUAUGGGGUACUGUGUAUAGGCCAGUGACACACAAUUUCAAUUGAAUCCAUUUUAAAUUCAGGCUGUAACACAAGAAAAUAUCAAGUGGUGUGAAUACUUUCUGAAGGCACUGUAAUGUUAGCUGUCAAACUACUCACUUGCGAGUUACAGAUUGAAAACAUUUUCUGUGAUCUCAAUCUAUCUAGCUACCAAUUUUAUGUCUGGUGGGGACGUUUACACCAGGGCAACAAGCCGAUAAGGCAGGUAUAUAAGACAGCUGGAAUUCCUGUUUGUCCAUUACCAAACUGAUGUUCGUAUCUGUGCAGAUGUCAAACUCAUUCCAUAGAGGGCCGAGUGGCUGAGGGUUUUUGCUCCACCCUUGUACUUGAUUGAUGGUUGUCUAGGGUUUAAUUGAAUGGAAAAACCAAAAACGUGCAGACACUAGGCCCUCCAUGAAAUUAGUUUGACAUCCCUGGCAGACUAGUCGAUUCCUCCAGAUUCGUUUUUUGGUACAUAUGUAUUUUUUUGUUAUUACAUUUCUGAUGUCAGAAUGGCCAUAUUCUGCAAAACACACAACACUAAGAUGUUAAAACUAAAAAUUCAAUAUUGAUAGUUUCGGUAAGAUCAAAUUGAUAUUUACUGUUUCAAAGGCAUCUCUAAAUAAUGUUAAUUUAACCAUUCUUCUUUUUGUUUAAAAUGCAAUUUGUACUGCUAUAGUGUUAAAUAUUAAAAUAAAGUCUUAUUCCAAAUGAACCAACUCCCCCACCUCUGUCAUGGUUUAAACAUGUUUUUCCCAUGUGGCUGCACUUGUCGUCCCUGAACAGUCCCUUAUUUCAGCCCCGUUUCAGGUGUCCCAACCUUUCUUUCUACAAAAAAGGUCAUUUUGUCUGCAAGAGGCGUGAAUUAUUUCAGGCUGACCACGAUUCCGGGUAGUAGCUUAAGGUCUUAUUUGGGAUUAGCUGUUUACAUGCACCUUUUGAUAUCCCGCUCACGAGUAUCACUGUACCCAUGAAUAAACAGAAUAUUCCUCAGUUCAUAUGGGUUCAAUGGAAUAGUAACUGAACUAUGGACACUGACAGUAGGCCUAAAACCUCAUGUUGUAUAGUAUAAUAUUAACUUCUGCAAAAGUAUGCAUCUCUUGCAGUAAACUAGUACAAAGAAAUGUCAUUGUCUCGGAAUAGGAGUGGAGAAAUAUUAGUUAUUUCUUUCAGCAUCUCCUGAGAAAAUGCAAAUGUGCAUGUAAUAUGUUAUCUUUGAAACUGUUAUACAAGCAGACAGUAUUUCAACCACAUAAAAUGUGCAUCCAAGACCAACUGAAGUCUUAUCAUAAAUGGGUUUCAUCCUUUUCUCAGCUUAAAACCUGUCAACUGAUGACAUUUGGACAUUUUGCACAGGACCUAUCUUUCCAUAGUUUUGGAGUUAUUGCGUUUUCUUCCCGGUCCCUAAACGAAAUGGACAACUUUACCGGUGUUAACUACAUACUGUAGAUUACAAAUGCAUUCAUUCUAUGCUGUAAGACAUUAUUCCGGUGACCACUACUUUAUUUAAUCUUCUGGAGCGGCAAGUUAUGACAGAAGAGAAGCUGCAACUUGUUGACAAACAACUGGCCUACCAAUUUUCUACAUUUUUAUAUGGCCUACCAAAUGUCAGAAAUUAUAAUCAGAAACUUGUCUAAAUUAGGGGUGAAAAUAGCCAGUAGACAAUAUGGUCCAGUAUGAGAAUCAGCCAAAUAAAUGAUUAUGAAAUGACUGGUGGAUCAAACCUACUUUUUGAAAUUAUUUGUUUGACAAUCAGAUGAAAACAUCACACAACACCCAUGAUAUGUGAAACUGAGUCUGCACAGACCGCAAAAAAAUAACAGUAAAUGGGAUAAGAUGUUUACAUGCCACAGUACUCUGUCUAAGAUUAGCAUAUCCCAGGCAUCUUAUCCAGGUUUUUCAUAACCGGGAUGCAAGCUUUUUGGGUUAUUGUAAACGGGAUAUGCCUCAACACAAAAACAGAAUACUUGUCACGACUUCCGCCGAAGUUGGCUCCCCUGCCUGUCGUCACCGUCCUACUAGCCGCCACCGAUCCCUUUUUCGUUUGUCUGUUUGUUUUGUCUUGUUAGUUUCACCUGUGUUUCUGUUUGGUUUAAUGAGCUUCCCUAUUUUUAGUAGGUGGACCCGCCCUUGCUAUGUGCGGGAUUGUCUCUAUGUUACUUGUGUGUGUGUGGUUUAGGUAGAGGUGGAUUUAUUUUCUUAACUUGACACCCUGUGUUUUUUGGGUUGUCACGUUGUUGUCCGCGCCCUGUAUUGUUGGGCUUAUCAUUUUGUGUGCCGAAGUAAAGAGCACUUUUCCCCAGUGGAACUCUCUGCGUCUGAUUCCUUCACCCACCUAGUCCCGCGUGACAAUACUUAAGUCUUCCGAAUAAUAAUGGGAUAUUGGUGUGCACUAAAAACUGCUAUGGUGAAAGCCCUUCUGAAGAAAAGUCAUCUAGAUUCUUCAGCUUUUAGCAAUUUAUGGCCAACGAUCCAUUCUUAAGCAAAAUUCUGGAGAAAUUGGUGUUCAAACAGCUAAAUUAUUUUUUAAGUGACAACAGUAUUUUUAAAAAAUUUAAAAAUCCAAUCUGGUUAUCGUGCCCAGCACAGGGACAGCCUUAGUUAAGGUAGUAAAUGAUUAUAGAGCCAACACAGAUGCCAAACAGCUCUCUGUCCUUGUACUGUUAGAUUUAAUUGCUGCAUUCGACACUGUUGACCAUGAUGUCUUUCUAGACAGACUGGAGAGGUGGGUUGGCCUCUCCGGUUCUAAAUUGGUUUUAGACCUAUUUAACUGGUCAAGUUUUUUGUGACCCUUGGUGAACAUAACUCAGAGAAAAUACAUAUCACAUGUGGUGUUCCACAAGUUUCGAUUUUGGGUCCGGUACUGUUCAGUUUAUAUAUGUUACCCCUUGGCAGCAUUAUCAGAAAGCACAGCAUUGAUUUUCAAUGCUACGCAGACGAUACACACAUUUACAUUUCUGUGUCACCAGAGGAUUUUAGAUCCACUGAAAAAUUAUUAGAUUGUAUUAGUGAUUUAAAUACUUGGUUGGCUCAUAACUUCCUCCAGUUAAAGACCAAUGUAUUUAUUGUUGGAGCCAAAGCAUAGAGAGAGAAUCUAGCCGCACAUUUGAAUUCACAGGCAAUAAAUAUAAAACACCAGGUAAAAAACCUUGGUGUUAUUUUCAAUUAUGGACUACAUUGAGUCACACAUUAGGAAUGUGACCAAAAUAGCUUUUUACCACCUGAGGAACAUUGCCAAGAUGAGGCCGUUUCUCUGUCUGAUACAGAGAGACUCAUCCAUGCUUUUAUUACAAGUAGGCUUGACUUCUGUAAUGCUCUCCUGUCUGGUCUACCCAAGAAAGCCAUUGGUCAACUACACAACAUACAGAAUGCUGCAGCAUGGGUACUGACCAAGACCAGACUGAGAGCACACAUUACACCAGUUUAAAGGUCUCUGUACUGUAAAACAUACAGAAUGCUGCAGCAUGGGUACUGACCAAGACCAGAGAGCACACAUUACACCAGUUUAAAGGUCUCUGUACUGUAAAACAUACAGAAUGCUGCAGCAUGGGUACUGACCAAGACCAGACUGAGAGCAGGCAUUACACCGGUUUAAAGGUCUCUGUACUGUAAAACAUACAGAAUGCUGCAGCAUGGGUACUGACCAAGACCAGAGAGCACACAUUACACCAGUUUAAAGGUCUCUGUACUGUAAAACAUACAGAAUGCUGCAGCAUGGGUACUGACCAAGACCAGAGAGCACACAUUACACCAGUUUAAAGGUCUCUGUACUGUAAAACAUACAGAAUGCUGCAGCAUGGGUACUGACCAAGACCAGAGAGCACACAUUACACCAGUUUAAAGGUCUCUGUACUGUAAAACAUACAGAAUGCUGCAGCAUGGGUACUGACCAAGACCAGAGAGCACACAUUACACCGGUUUAAAGGUCUCUGUACUGUAAAACAUACAGAAUGCUGCAGCAUGGGUACUGACCAAGACCAGAGAGCACACAUUACACCGGUUUAAAGGUCUCUGUACUGUAAAACAUACAGAAUGCUGCAGCAUGGGUACUGAC